rnacentral:lncRNA from 14 species
CUUCUCACGCCACCCCACCAGCGAGGAGGCUGGGGGUGCAGGAGGAGUUGGGAGGGGACACAGCCAGGACAGCUGACUCCAAUUGACCAGAGGGAUAACCCACACCAUAUGGCAUCAUGAUCAGCUUAUAAAUCUCAGAAAGGAGAAGUAAAGGCAGGGAAGUUUGGAAUGAUAGUGUUUAUCUUCCCAAGUCGCCAUCACCCAUGAUGGAGCCCUGCUUUCCUGGAGAUGGCUUAACAUCUGCUUGCCCACAGGAAGUGGUGAAUUAAUGCCUUGUUUUACUUUGCUUGUAUGUGUGGUUCUUACUUUAUCUAUUAAACUGUCUUUAUCUCAACUGUAGCGUUUUCUCAUUUUUACUCUUUUUAGUUCUUCUUCCACACCACCAGGGGGGAGUGAGUGAGAAGCUGGAUGGCGCUUAGUUGACAGCUUGGGUUAAACUGCAGCAUAUUAUACCUGGAAGAAAAAUUCUUGAGUGAGAUCUUUAUUCUACUGACAUCAAAGGCGGAUCUUACAUCUCAUGCCGAAAGAAUCUGAUGUAUGUCUCCAUUCUUGCCACAUAGAAGAACCUGAAUUUAGAAGCUCAGUAUUACAUCUGGGUCUUGACAGGAUGCCUUGUUACACAGAGGCUUUCGCAGACUCCUGUGUAACCCCUGUAAAGUAAGUGCCAUUGGAUAUUUCACAAGAAGGGAGGUUUGUUUUUCUAUCCUUCCACACUUCCUUUUAAACAAAGCCAUUAAUUACCCAGGAGCAUCAGCAACUUAUGAAAAGGUGAAACACUUUUCAUUUAAUUGUUGAAAAGUCACUGUAUUGUUACUAGUGUUUUACGAUUUAUGACUCCAACCUGACUCCAACAGACCGUAACAAGAGGCCUACUCUUUUUGGUUUGAGUCUAUAGCAUUUCACACAUUAUCGACAAAUAUUAUGCAGUAAAGAUCCACACAUAAGAAGGAUGAGUCAUUAUGCUUUUUCAUCAGCAGGUUUCAGAGGAAUGGAGCUUUAACGUGAAUAGCCAAUAUUUGUUCCUGUCACAAAAUCUUAAAAGUUUGAAGGAACAGGGAGUGAAGAGCUUUAGAAACUGCACCCAAGAAGAUAACGGGACUUUUCAGACAAUGAGGACUUCCCAUGUCUGAGGCCCAGGAGGAAAAUCACACAGUGCCUUCUCAAUGGAGAAUCCUCGGGACAGCAGCAGAUGGAUCUAAUAAUGUAAUAUGUAAUAAGGUGGUAAUGUAAUUUUUGUAAUAAAAGAUCUAUGUUUUGGGAGAUUUGUGUCUUU